GGACUACCGGGGUAUCUAAUCCUGUUUGCUCCCCACGCUUUCGCAGUUGAGUGUCAGUCCCCGUCCAGGUCGCCGCCUUCGCCUCUGGUGUUCCUCCCGAUCUCUACGCAUUUCACCGCUACACCGGGAAUUCCACGACCCUCUCCGGAACUCGAGUCUCACCGUUUCUUGCGCACUUCUUGAGUUAAGCCCAAGGAUUUCACACAAGACAAAUGAGACCACCUACUUGCCCUUUACGCCCAAUGAUUCCGAGCAACGCUUGCACCCUCUGUAUUACCGCGGCUGCUGGCAC
rnacentral:rRNA from 1 species